GCAAAACGUGGCAGUGGCAAAUGUAGCUUUUCAGCCUUACGCCUUUAAGAUCUCACAAGAUGCAAAUGUGUGCUUUUGAUAGAUACUUGCACUCCAAUAAGCAACAUUUUCCAGGGAUAAGGAUAAUCAGUUAAACAAAAUAUUACAAUGAACUCCUUAGUGCAAACAUUUAAGAUGAUAUAUGUGUUUUUUUUUAUUAAGUAAGGUGUUCCAUUAAGACAAGAGGGGUUGCUCUGAUGGUAAGCAACC
rnacentral:lncRNA from 1 species